AUGCAGGCAAUCACUUCCUCAACAGCACAACUAAAAGCCCUGCUGUGGAGCUCAACCCUUGAUGAAUUGCAAGCUCUUUGCACACUCCCAGACCUAGGAGGAUGGGCAAAGUACAGCCCAUGGUCUGUUUCUGGACUGCCUGCAAGCACGAUUGCUGUGAUUUUUAAAAGGCUGUAUUCUAAAUGCACGAAGGGCUUAUCACAUGCCCUUUCCAAGCUCCAGGCUGUGACCGAAGCACAUCCCCUGGACCCCGGCAACCUGUCUAUCAAUGUCACCUCUGAAGGUGGUGGCUGGCCGGGGAUAAGGGCGGCUUCAGGAGAGAGCGGGACUUCGGGCGGCGGAGGCAGCACAGAGGAAGCGUUUGUGACCUUCCACAGUGAGGUGAAACAAAUAGAGGAGAGAGACUCGGUUCUAACAUCCAAAAAUCAGACUGAAACACUGACCCGUCCUGGUUCCUCUCACUUCAUUGUGAGCCCAUUGGAGGUUCUUCAGAUAGAUCCUGAGGUUACAGAUGAAGACAUGAAAAAGAGGUUUCGGCAGUUAUCCAUAUCGGUGCACCCCGACAAAGAUCAAGAUGAUGCUGAGAGAGCACGAAAGGCUUGCGAAGCUGUGGACAAAGCUUACAAGUCGCCACUGGAUCAGGAGCAAAAGAAGAGGGCCCUGGAUGUAAUUCAGGCAGGGAAGGAAUACGUGGAACACACUGUGAAAGAGCGAAAGAAAACAAUCAAAGGAAGGAAGGAAACCUACGAUUGUAGAGGAGGAUGAUCCUGAGCCUUCAAAGGAGCUGUAUGUAAACAGACAAUGAAACUCUGCCGAGCUGCAAAUUAGAAGGAGAGAGAGAGAAGCCAGAGAUGCAUGAAAGGAAAGGACAAAGGGAGGAAGAGAUCGAAGCUCAAGAAAAAGCCAGACGAGAGAGAGUGGCAGAAAAACUUUGAGGAAAAGUGUAGGCAGCUGGCGAAAUUUCCAAGCCAAUACAAAGGGGAAGAAAGAGAAGAAAAGCCGGACCUUCCUGAGACCACCGAAAGUAAUGGAGCAGCGUGAGGGACCGCUCAGGGUCACAGGCACAGGACCUUCCCCCCUGCUGUUUCCCUUCCUGCUUCGAAGGACUCAUCCUUUCCUCCCACUUCCACCCCACCAUACAGCUGUAUUUGCUUUUUAGUCCAUUUUGUUUUCAAUGCAAUUUAAUAUCGAUCAGAGUAAUUCUUUUGUACAUUGAAAUGAGGGGCUUGGUUUAAAAAGAAGACCUUCCCCUCUCCCUGCCCCUAGAACCACCAGGAUUGGAAGGUGCCACCCCUGGUGCUGCCUUCUCUUCCCACAGCCUGUAACUUCAUGUUUUGUAUUUCACUGAAUUGUGACGGUUAGAUACUUCGUGGAUAGUUUGUGGAAAUCAUCCAAUUAAACAUAUUGCUUAAAAUGGUGUUGCUGUGACUGCAGACAGACCUGGGGCACCUUAGGAGACCCCUUCGCUUCCGUUGCUCGCUUUUGGGUGUGCUCCCUUUGAAGGCCCAGAUGAGACAGGGAACACUUGUGGGCACUCAGAGCAGGCACCUGCUGCCCUGGUGCCCUGUGGCAUUUGGCAUGUGCCCUCCGUCUACUAACCAAUCAGCGUGGCAUGAGGCCCACGCCACCCAAACCUUUCACUUUCCAAAGAGCUAGCAGUCCUCCACCCAGUACCAUGGUGUCAUAGCCUGUCUGCAUUUGUUAGUGGUAAUAUUCUUUAUGUAUAAUAAAUUUUUAUACCC